rnacentral:tRNA from 1 species
GCCGGGAUGGCGGAACUGGUAGACGCGCCGGAUUCAAAAUCCGGUUCCUCACGGAGUGGGGGUUCGAUUCCCCCUCCCGGCACCA